rnacentral:rRNA from 1 species
GACAGAGGAUGCAAGCGUUAUCCGGAAUGAUUGGGCGUAAAGCGUCUGUAGGUGGCUUUUAAGUCCGCCGUCAAAUCCCAGGGCUCAACCCUGGACAGGCGGUGGAAACUACCAAGCUGGAGUACGGUAGGGGCAGAGGGAAUUUCCGGUGGAGCGGUGAAAUGCGUAGAGAUCGGGAAGAACACCAAUGGCGAAGACACUCUGCUGGGCCGAAACUGACACUGAGAGACGAAAGCUAGGGGAGCGAAUGGG